rfam:Triticum aestivum genome assembly, contig: Triticum_aestivum_CS42_TGACv1_scaffold_407585_5BL
UAGAUACUCCAUCCGUUCGGAAUUACUUGUCUCGGAAAUGAAUGUAUCUAGAACUAAAAUAUGUCUAGAUACAUCCAUUUCUGCGACAAGUAAUUCCGAGCGGAUGGAGUACAUU